CGUGUAGGCGGGUCGCUGCGUCGGCUGCUGAAAUCCCCCGGCUCAACCGGGGAACGGGCACCGAUACGAGCGGCCUGGAGGGGGGUAGGGGGGUCUGGAACUUCCGGUGGAGCGGUGAAAUGCGUUGAGAUCGGAAGGAACGCCCGUGGCGAAAGCGAGGCCCUGGACCCUUUCUGACGCUGAGACGCGAAAGCCAGGGGAGCGAACG
rnacentral:rRNA from 1 species